CAAUAGCGUAUAUUAAAGUUGUUGCAGUUAAAAAGCUCGUAGUUGGAUUUCGGGGCAGCCUGGCUGGUCCGCCGCAAGGCGAGUACUGGUCAGCCGCCCUUCCUCUCGAAAGCCCCGACUGCUCUUCGUUGCAGUGGUCGGGUAGUUCGGGACGUUUACUUUGAAAAAAUUAGAGUGUUCAAGGCAGGCCUACGCCUGAAUACAUUAGCAUGGAAUAAUGGAAGAGGACCUCGGUCCUAUUUUGUUGGUUUCCAGGGCCGAAGUAAUGAUUAAGAGGGACAGUUGGGGGCAUUCGUAUUUAAUUGUCAGAGGUGAAAUUCUCGGAUUUAUGAAAGACGAACAACUGCGAAAGCAUUUGCCAAGGAUGUUUUCAUUGA
rnacentral:rRNA from 1 species